GGGCCCGCACAAGCGGAGGAACAUGUGGUUUAAUUCGAUGAUACGCGAGGAACCUUACCCGGGCUUGAAUUGCCGACGAAGGCCAUAGAGAUAUGUCCGCCGCAAGGCGUCGGUGAAGGUGCUGCAUGGUUGUCGUCAGCUCGUGCCGUGAGGUGUCGGCUUAAGUGCCAUAACGAGCGCAACCCUUGUCCAUAGUUGCCAUCGGUUAAAGCCGGGCACUCUGUGGAGACUGCCACCGUAAGGUGCGAGGAAGGUGUGGAUGACGUCAAAUCAGCACGGCCCUUACGUCCGGGGCGACACACGUGUUACAAUGGGCCAUACAGAAGGCAGCUACCUCGCAAGAGGAUGCUAAUCCCGAAAGUGGCCCUCAGUUCGGACUGGGGUCUGCAACCCGACCCCACGAAGCUGGAUUCGCUAGUAAUCGCGCAUCAGCCAUGGCGCGGUGAAUACGUUCCCGGGCCUU
rnacentral:rRNA from 1 species